rnacentral:rRNA from 1 species
UGGCGGGUGCUAUACAUGCAGUCGAGCGGACAGAAGGGAGCUUGCUCCCGGAUGUUAGCGGCGGACGGGUGAGUAACACGUGGGUAACCUGCCUGUAAGACUGGGAUAACUCCGGGAAACCGGAGCUAAUACCGGAUAGUUCCUUGAACCGCAUGGUUCAAGGAUGAAAGACGGUUUCGGCUGUCACUUACAGAUGGACCCGCGGCGCAUUAGCUAGUUGGUGGGGUAAUGGCUCACCAAGGCGACGAUGCGUAGCCGACCUGAGAGGGUGAUCGGCCACACUGGGACUGAGACACGGCCCAGACUCCUACGGGAGGCAGCAGUAGGGAAUCUUCCGCAAUGGACGAAAGUCUGACGGAGCAACGCCGCGUGAGUGAUGAAGGUUUUCGGAUCGUAAAGCUCUGUUGUUAGGGAAGAACAAGUGCGAGAGUAACUGCUCGCACCUUGACGGUACCUAACCAGAAAGCCACGGCUAACUACGUGCCAGCAGCCGCGGUAAUACGUAGGUGGCAAGCGUUGUCCGGAAUUAUUGGGCGUAAAGGGCUCGCAGGCGGUUUCUUAAGUCUGAUGUGAAAGCCCCCGGCUCAACCGGGGAGGGUCAUUGGAAACUGGGAAACUUGAGUGCAGAAGAGGAGAGUGGAAUUCCACGUGUAGCGGUGAAAUGCGUAGAGAUGUGGAGGAACACCAGUGGCGAAGGCGACUCUCUGGUCUGUAACUGACGCUGAGGAGCGAAAGCGUGGGGAGCGAACAGGAUUAGAUACCCUGGUAGUCCACGCCGUAAACGAUGAGUGCUAAGUGUUAGGGGGUUUCCGCCCCUUAGUGCUGCAGCUAACGCAUUAAGCACUCCGCCUGGGGAGUACGGUCGCAAGACUGAAACUCAAAGGAAUUGACGGGGGCCCGCACAAGCGGUGGAGCAUGUGGUUUAAUUCGAAGCAACGCGAAGAACCUUACCAGGUCUUGACAUCCUCUGACAACCCUAGAGAUAGGGCUUUCCCUUCGGGGACAGAGUGACAGGUGGUGCAUGGUUGUCGUCAGCUC